rnacentral:lncRNA from 1 species
UUUUCAUCAUUUAAUUAUUAUUUUUGAAUGAAAUAAUAAUCAAAUUUGUUUUCUCAAAACGACGGCGAUCAUUUUUGCAGCAAAUUUGGCUUUGUUGUGUUUAAGUGUUGUGGACAGAAAGGAAUAAGAUGUUCUUUAACAAUAAAGCUAAAUCUAUUCGGAAGCUCAUGGAUAAAGUAAAAUUUUCUAUCUAUUGGUGGCUGAAAGUUCAAAAUGUUAAUUUUUCUUUUGGUCAUUUUAUAUGUUGAAACAACCCUUUACUUAUUUGGGUCUUGACUGAAUUUGUCUGUUUCUUCCUUCUAGUUCCGUGAUGUAAAACUAUUUUACUCCUCUUUGCACACCUUUAUACUAAGGAGCAACUGUUUCUUGUAGUACUAUAUAUAUUAUUUUGGCUUGUUAAAAAAAAAAAUUUGUUUUCU